rnacentral:ribozyme from 1 species
AAGAAGAAUUAGAAGAUGAAGAAGGUGAUGAUACCGACACUUUUUCUCUCUCUUCUUCUUCUUCUACUUCUUUCUCUUCUUUUUCUUCCUUCUCUUCUCUCCCCUCUCACACUUCCCAAUCUGUUAUACACUCUGGGUGGAUGUUGAAGAGAGGAGGAGGGGCAAAGAAAAAGAAAGAGGGAGGGAAAGGGAGAUGGAGAAAGAGAUUUUUUGUCUUGACAACAGGAGAAUUAAAAUAUUACAAAA